rnacentral:rRNA from 1 species
GGUGAGUAAUGUCUGGGAAACUGCCCGAUGAAGGGGGAUAAACUACUGGAAAACGGGUAGGCUAAUACCGCAUUAUGUCGCGAAGAACAAAGAAGGGGGACCUUCCGGGGCCUCCUUGCCAUCGGAUGUGCCCAGAUUGGAUUAGCUAGUUAGGUGGGGGUAACGGCUCACCUAGGGCGACCGAUCCCUAGGCUGGUCUGAGAGGCAUGACCCAGCCACAACUGGAACUGAGACACGGUCCAGAACUCCUACGGGAGGCAGCAGUGGGGAAUAUUGCACAAUGGGCGCAAGCCUGAUGCAGCCAUGCCGCGUGUAUGAAGAAGGCUUCGGGUUGUAAAGUAUUCAGCGAGGAGGAAGGCGUUGGGUUAAUAACCACAGCGAUUGGAC